rnacentral:rRNA from 1 species
GAUGAACGCUGGCGGCGUGCCUAAUACAUGCAAGUCGAGCGAACAGACGAGGAUCUUGCUCCUCUGACGUUAGCGGCGGACGGGUGAUUAACACGUGGAUAACCUACCUAUAAGACUGGGUUCACUUCGGGAAACCGGAGCUAAUACCGGAUAAUAUAUUGAACCGCAUGGUUCAUUAGUGAAAGACGGUUUUGCUGUCACUUAUUGAUGGAUCCUCGCCGCAUUAGCUAGUUGGUAAGGUAACGGCUUACCAAGGCAACGAUGCGUAGCCGACCUGAGAGGGUGAUCGGCCACACUGGAACUGAGACACGGUCCAGACUCCUACGGGAGGCAGCAGUAGGGAAUCUUCUGCAAUGGGCGAAAGCCUGACGGAGCAACGCCGCGUGAGUGAUGAAGGUCUUCGGAUCGUAAAACUCUGUUAGUAGGGAAGAACAAUUGUGUAAGUAAAUAUGCACGACUUGACGGUACCUAAUCAGAAAGCCACGGCUAACUACGUG